AUGCGAUCAUUGUCAUCAGCAUCUAGGAAGCAUCACGCAGGACCUUGACCUCCAUACUGCACUGUUCGUACUGGAUCUUCCUAUCAGUGGACAUUAUUGGAAGUAUCAAUGCUGCGUCAAGUCCCUCCUGGAUGGAAAGUUUUAAAACUUCUUCAUUUGGAGUUAUUUAAACACGAGGAUGUUGGGAUUUUUGAUGACGCCUACCCUAUGUGGAUUACUACAAUUUGGUUACUGGGAAUUCUCUACCUCAAAGAAGGUGACCCCCACCUCCAAGGACAGAGCUCUUUCACCCAUAUGGCUUUCUCGGGAGUCAGCUUAUUGAGUGGAAGGAACACGAGCUCUCCAGUGAGAUCUGCAUUUGCUGCUCCAGUAGUGUCCAACUUGAUGUCAUCCGCGGAUUUAGCAAAUGGGCCAUCUUUUCCAUCAUCAUCCGGUCAACCCGGGAUCACCACCGAGCAUCCUCCCCCGGCCCUGAUUGACAGAUUGCUGCUGUUGCUUGUCCUUUCCACCGAACGCCCUCAAACCCGGCAGGAAAGGGGAAAAGCUAACGAGAAAGAUCACAAGUAG
rnacentral:lncRNA from 1 species